rnacentral:miRNA from 1 species
UGUGUGUGUGUGUGUGUGUGUGUGUGUGUGUGUGCGCACGCGCGCGUGCACGCAUGCACGCACACACAUGCCUUUUCUCAG